GUUGAUAAGGUUAAGUGAAUAAGGGCGCACGGUGGAUGCCUUGGCACUAGGAGCCGAUGAAGGACGGGACUAACACCGAUAUGCUUUGGGGAGCUGUACGUAAGCUAUGAUCCAGAGAUUUCCGAAUGGGGGAACCCAACAUCUUUAAUAGGAUGUUACGAUUGUGUGAAUACAUAGCACAUUCGAGGUAGACGCAGAGAACUGAAACAUCUAAGUACCUGCAGGAAGAGAAAGAAAAUUCGAUUCCCUGAGUAGCGGCGAGCGAAACGGGAAAAGCCCAAACCAGCAAGCUUGCUUGUUGGGGUUGUAGGACUCCAAUAUGGUAGUUCUUUCAGAUAGUCGAAUGACUUGGAAAAGUCAGUCAAAGAGGGUAAAAACCCCGUAGACGAAAUGUGGAAGACACCUAGGAGGAUCCUGAGUACGGCGGAACACGAGAAAUUCCGUCGGAAUCCGGGAGGACCAUCUCCCAAGGCUAAAUACUCCCUAGUGACCGAUAGUGAACCAGUACCGUGAGGGAAAGGUGAAAAGCACCCCGGAAGGGGAGUGAAAUAGAACCUGAAACCGUGUGCCUACAACAAGUCAAAGCCCGUUAAUGGGUGAUGGCGUGCCUUUUGUAGAAUGAACCGGCGAGUUACGAUUGCAUGCGAGGUUAAGUUGAAGAGACGGAGCCGCAGCGAAAGCGAGUCUGAAUAGGGCGUUUGAGUAUGUAGUCGUAGACCCGAAACCAUGUGAUCUACCCAUGUCCAGGUUGAAGGUGCGGUAAAACGCACUGGAGGACCGAACCCACGUACGUUGAAAAGUGCGGGGAUGAGGUGUGGGUAGCGGAGAAAUUCCAAACGAACUUGGAGAUAGCUGGUUCUCUCCGAAAUAGCUUUAGGGCUAGCCUCGGAAUUGAGAAUGAUGGAGGUAGAGCACUGUUUGGACUAGGGGCCCAUCUCGGGUUACCGAAUUCAGAUAAACUCCGAAUGCCAUUCAUUCAUAUCCGGGAGUCAGACUGUGAGUGAUAAGAUCCAUAGUCGAAAGGGAAACAGCCCAGACCACCAGCUAAGGUCCCAAAAUAUAUGUUAAGUGGAAAAGGAUGUGGGGUUGCACAGACAACUAGGAUGUUGGCUUAGAAGCAGCCACCAUUUAAAGAGUGCGUAAUAGCUCACUAGUCGAGUGACCCUGCGCCGAAAAUGUACCGGGGCUAAACAUAUUACCGAAGCUGUGGAGUACACCUUUAGGUGUAUUGGUAGGAGAGCGUUCUAAGGGCGUUGAAGGCAGAUCGUGAGGACUGCUGGAGCGCUUAGAAGUGAGAAUGCCGGUAUGAGUAGCGAAAGACAGGUGAGAAUCCUGUCCACCGAAUGACUAAGGUUUCCUGGGGAAGGCUCGUCCGCCCAGGGUUAGUCGGGACCUAAGCCGAGGCCGACAGGCGUAGGCGAUGGAUAACAGGUUGAUAUUCCUGUACCCGUUGUUUUUGUUUGAGCAAUGGAGGGACGCAGGAGGCUAAGGAAUGCAGACGAUCGGAAAUGUCUGUCCAAGCAGUAAGUCUGAAGAGGAGUCAAAUGCUUCUUUUCUUAAGGACAAGCUGUGAUGGGGAGGGAAAUAAUAGUACCGAAGUUCCUGAUGUCACACUGCCGAGAAAAGCUUCUAGUGAGAAAACAGCGGCCCGUACCGCAAACCGACACAGGUAGUCGAGGAGAGAAUCCUAAGGUGAGCGAGAGAACUCUCGUUAAGGAACUCGGCAAAAUGACCCCGUAACUUCGGGAGAAGGGGUGCUGAUCAUACGAUCAGCCGCAGUGAAUAGGCCCAAGCGACUGUUUAUCAAAAACACAGGUCUCUGCAAAAUCGUAAGAUGAAGUAUAGGGGCUGACGCCUGCCCGGUGCUGGAAGGUUAAGAGGAGUGCUUAGCGCAAGCGAAGGUACGAAUUGAAGCCCCAGUAAACGGCGGCCGUAACUAUAACGGUCCUAAGGUAGCGAAAUUCCUUGUCGGGUAAGUUCCGACCCGCACGAAAGGCGUAACGAUUUGGGCACUGUCUCAACGAGAGACUCGGUGAAAUUUUAGUACCUGUGAAGAUGCAGGUUACCCGCGACAGGACGGAAAGACCCCAUGGAGCUUUACUGUAGUUUGAUAUUGAGUGUCUGUACCGCAUGUACAGGAUAGGUAGGAGCCGUAGAAAUCGGAACGCUAGUUUCGAUGGAGGCGCUGGUGGGAUACUACCCCUG
rnacentral:rRNA from 1 species